CGAUCAUCCUGUUCAAAAGUUUACAUUCCCCUGGCUCUUAAUGUUUCGUGUUACCUUCUUGAGCAUCAGUGAAUGUUUGCACCUUAUGUAAUAGUUGUGUACGAGUCCCACAGUUGUCCUCAGUGUGAAAAGAUGGAUUUCAACAUCAUAUAACCAGUGUUGGAAAGCAGUCAAAUAUGCAGAAUAUACUAAAGCAAAGAAUGUGCAGGACCUGGAGGAUUUUCCUGAAGAACAGUAGACAGUUUAACUGCUCAGGUCAAACAGGGGAUUCAUGAACGACUAUCACAAAACAAAAAACAGUCAUGGAUCAUCCAGGCAAUGACGCACAGUAUUAAGAUUCAAGGGUAUGUAAACUUUUGAUUGGGGUAAUUUUUAUAAAUUCAGCUAUGAUCUUGUCUUGUGGACUAUAUGUAAACAUCUGUUAUGUGAAAUAGCUUAUUCAGGACACAACUAAAUAAAAAAACAACAUGGGAUUUUUAUGAUCCCUCUUAUCUUGUUAACAGUAUUAAGAAUUAGCAGAUUCUGCAAGGGGUAUGCAAACUUUUGGGCACAACUGUGUGUGUGUGUGUGUGUGUGUGUGUGUGUGUGUGUGUGUAUAUAUACAAAAAGGUGUCAAAGAUGUAUCCUUGUGGGGCAUUUACCAUCCCAGCGCCAAGUUUUUCAAAUUAUGGAUCUGUGCCACACUCUGCUUCUUAAAGCAAGCUCUGGAACCAAGGGUCUACUUACCAUGGAGUGUAUAUAAAAAUGGCCUACAUUUUUAUCUGUAAUGAAACUAGAUUUCAGCGUUCUCUCUUUUAUCUGUGGUGCGAGACAAACAAUGACAUGCUUUUGAGUUACAGAAAAGAAACAAAGCCCAAAAUGAAAUAUAGAGUCUUUAUUUUAAGUAAGAAUGUGUUUGUGCCCUGGAACAGAGGCAUAACGGAGAUGAAACUCAAAUAAUCCAAACAUUUUGAACAUUAAGUCCACCUGGAGGUUUUAAAAGGAAUUAAGAGAACUCCAGACGAACGAGGCCUGUCACAGCAGUCAGAGGAACUCUCCUGAGCCUUAAUGCAUUCAUUCAUCAUCUGUUCCCUUCCUUUCUAGGGGCUAUUAAGGGGAUAUAAACUCAGCAUUGCUUUGUAGAGAAGACACACAAAAUGUCCCAUCUGUACUGCUAAGGGACACACACACUCAUUCUCUCUCUCUCUCUCUCUCUCUCUGUCUCUCUCUCUGUCUCUGUCUCUCCCACUCUUGCUCCCUCUCUUUUUUGCUCUCUUUCUGGCUGCGGUUAUGUUCUGCAAAAGGGCUUGAGGGCUGUGUGUGCAUUGGCUGAUUGUAGGUCUGGUGUGGCCUCAGUAACCCUUAUGCUCCCUCAGCAUCUGGUAAAGAGCGAAAGCAUACGUCUUGUCCCACCCCAACCUGAGACACAAACUUGUCUUGCUGUACACAAGAAGAAGCAGAAGAGCUUAAAGGCAAACACUCAGAAAUAUAAUUUUGAAUGUUUGACAGCUCAUAAUCUGUUAAUUGGAAAGUAGUAUGUAUGCAGUGUUGGAAAACAAAGUAGGUAGUAACUCGGCAAGAUAAAGAGAAGUAAGUAGUAACUCAGCAAUAUAAGAAAGGGUAGCAGGUAGUAAAUAAGCGAUUUUAGAAAGGGGAAUAUGUAAUAACUCAACGUUUUAAGAAAGGGAAGUAGAUAGUAAUGGAUGCAGACAGGAAACAAGCAAUAGAAGAAAGGGAAUCAGGUAGGAGGCAAGUGAUGCAAGAAAGGGAAGUAGUUAGGAAGCAAACGAUGGAAGAAUGGGAAGCAGGUAGGAAGCAAGCCAUGCAAGAAAGGGAACCAGUUGGGAAGCAAGCCAUGGAAGCAGGUAGGACACAAGCGAUGCAAGAAAGGCUUCCCUUUCCC
ensembl:lncRNA